rfam:Triticum aestivum genome assembly, contig: Triticum_aestivum_CS42_TGACv1_scaffold_499343_6BL
AAUAUACUUCCUCUGUUCGGAAAUAUUUGUUUUAAAAAUGGAUGUAUCUAGGCUUAUUUUAGUUAUACAUACAUCUAUUUUAUCCAUUUUUAGGACAAGUAUUUCGGGACGGAGGGAGUACAUA